GCUCAGCCCAGUCGGGCGAAUAUUGAAGGGGGGCAGGACAAGCCAGAGGUAAUCAUUGACGAUAACCUCUUAAUAGCCAUGGUCGAGGCUCGCCCUGCUCUUUGGGAUUCGUCCGACCCCAACCAUGCCAAGCGCAAAACACCAAGGCUCUUUGGAAUGAGAUUUACAGCGGCAUCUGUAAUUCCUGGAAGGUCCUUUCCCCUAAUGAAAGAUGGAUUAUUGGCGACCAGAUAAAACAUCACUGGGGAUCCAUCAGGGACCGGCACAUAUGGGACCUAAGGGAGGAGGAAGAGAGGCCAAGUGGAUCAGGUGCCUCCACCAAGACCCCAUACAUUUACCAGCCCCUCCUCGGGCCCCUCCAAAAAUGGCAUAACAUACGGAAAACACAUUCCAGUGUGAGGACACACAAACAGACCCUCAGUGCUCCACCCCCCCCCAUCCCUGACCCAGCCCCCGACACUGCUGAUCAAGGACAAGAACCUUCUCCCCUACCAGCUUCCUCAUCGUCCUGGCCAAGUCGCCAGAGGAUUGAAACAUCCUUUGGAGAUUUGGUCCAGCCGUUGAGGACUGGUAGGAGACAGCAUGUGAUCCUUGAAGAUCUCAUAAAGCUUCAUGAGAUUGGAUGAUAGAGUGGAAGCCUUGAGGGAGGAGCUUUGCCAGUUAUGGCAGGCAGGUGCAGGGCCAUCAACUGGUCCCCCUUCAGACUCUCUACUCUAUCUCUAGAGCCUGGCUCCCAUGAUGGAGAAACUGCUCCUUGAUAUCCAGUGUCCGUUCCGCAAGGAGUCAUUCGAGCUUCUGUCUAGACUCUAGACUAUGGAUCAUAACGGAUAAACAAUUAUAAACAGACGUUAAACUCUAUUCACCCGUUAUUAAACGUCCGUUACAAAACAUUAUAAUGGACGUUUAUAACGGAUGAAUGAACUAUAGUGUGAAAGGAGCCUAACCCCUCUUCAUUUAUGCAAGCAAAUUGCAUAACUUUACAAUUGUUAUGACCGUAGCAUGAGUGUUUACUCCUUUUCUACUGGAGUUUCCCUUUGUAUUAAAUUAUAAUUUAUUUAUAUAGGGCCCUUGGUUCCAGGGCACUUUACAUUUGAUAAGGGUUAAAAUACAUAAUACAAUUACAGGUGCAGUGAACAUGACACACAGUAUAUGACAGACUCAUAUAGAGAUUGCCCAC